UACGAAGGGGGCUAGCGUUGCUCGGAAUUACUGGGCGUAAAGGGCGCGUAGGCGGCCAGAUUAGUCAGGCGUGAAAGCCCUGGGCUCAACCUGGGGACUGCGCUUGAUACGGUUUGGCUUGAGGACGGAAGAGGCUCGCGGAAUUCCCAGUGUAGAGGUGAAAUUCGUAGAUAUUAGGAAGAACACCGGUGGCGAAGGCGGCCCACUGGUCCGGUACUGACGCUGAGGUGCGAAAGCGUGGGGAGCAAACAGG
rnacentral:rRNA from 1 species